CUGUUUUUCCUAUUGUGGUGGAAUAUUCUAUCCUUAUAAUUGUAGCAACCAAGCAUUCCUGCAGAGGUAGAAAGAAUUCCAGUUGCAAUAAAUGUGAUUCAGCAGGUGGAGAUUUUAUAUAGUCCAAGGUGUUUCCACGAAAAUAUACAGUCGUAGUUGAAAAAGUUGUGCUUAUAUUAAGAUCCAAGAUUAUAUACUUCACACAACUAUGCAUAUUGGAUACACUGAAAACUUUGUUGGCGCGAUGCAUUUAUUGCGUCACUCG